UACGUAGGGUGCGAGCGUUGUCCGGCAUUAUUGGGCGUAAAGAGCUCGUAGGCGGUGUGUCACGUCGGCCGUGAAAACCUGCAGCUUAACUGUGGGCGUGCGGUCGAUACGGGCAUCACUGGAGUUCGGCAGGGGAGACUGGAAUUCCUGGUGUAGCGGUGAAAUGCGCAGAUAUCAGGAGGAACACCGGUGGCGAAGGCGGGUCUCUGGGCCGAUACUGACGCUGAGGAGCGAAAGCGUGGGGAGCAAACAGG
rnacentral:rRNA from 1 species